AGCUCCAAUAGCGUAUAUUAAAGUUGUUGCGGUUAAAAAGCUCGUAGUUGGAUUUCUGCCGAAGACGACCGGUCCGCCCUCUGGGUGAGCAUCUGGUUCGACUUGGGCAUCUUCUUGGAGAACGUUCCUGCACUUGAUUGGGUGGGGCGGUAUCCAGGACUUUUACUUUGAGGAAAUUAGAGUGUUUCAAGCAGGCACACGCCUUGAAUACAUUAGCAUGGAAUAAUAAGAUAGGACCUCGGUUCUAUUUUGUUGGUUUCUAGAGCUGAGGUAAUGAUU
rnacentral:rRNA from 1 species